UACGGAAUGUGCAAACGUUAUUCGGAAUCACUGGGCUUAAAGAGUCCGUAGGCGGCAUGUUAGGUGAGGUGUGAAAUCCCCCGGCUCAACCGAGGAAUUGCGCUUCAAACCGGCGUGCUUGAGGAAGAUAGAGGUGGGCGGAACUGAUGGUGGAGCGGUGAAAUGCGUUGAUAUCAUCAGGAACACCGGAGGCGAAAGCGGCCCACUGGGUCUCUUCUGACGCUGAGGGACGAAAGCUAGGGGAGCGAACAGG
rnacentral:rRNA from 1 species